CCUACGGGAGGCUGCAGUGGGGAAUAUUGCACAAUGGGGGAAACCCUGAUGCAGCGACGCCGCGUGAGUGAAGAAGGAUCUCGGUAUGUAAAGCUCUAUCAGCAGGGAAGAAAAUGACGGUACCUGACUAAGAAGCCGCGGCUAACUACGGGCCAGCAGCCGCGGUAAGACGUAGGGGGCAAGCGUUAUCCGGAUUUACUGGGUGUAAAGGGAGCGUAGACGGCGCUGCAAGUCCGGAGUGAAAGCCCAUGGCUUAACCCUGGUACUGCGCUGGAAACGGUGGAGCUUGCGUGCGGGAGGGGCAGGCGGACUUCCUCGUGUCGCUGUGCAAUUCGUAGAUCUUAGGAGG
rnacentral:rRNA from 1 species